rnacentral:rRNA from 1 species
GGCGCGGACGUGCCGCGGCUGGCCUACCUCGUCUCCGGGUCCAAGGGCUACCUGGACUGGCGGGUGCUGCACGCGCUCUACCACCCGCGCAACCUGUACGUGGUGCACCUGGACCUGGAGUCGCCGGCGGGGGAGCGGGUGGAGCUGGCGGCGCGGGUGGGCAACAGCACCGUGUUCCAGCGCUUCGGCAACGUCGAGGUGAUCCGGCGCGCCAACAUGGUGACGUACCGCGGGCCGACGAUGGUGGCCAACACCCUGCAUGCCUGCGCCGUCCUCCUCCGCCGCAGCCGCGACUGGGACUGGUUCAUCAACCUCUCUGCCUCCGACUACCCGCUCAUGACCCAGGACGAUAUCCUUCACGUAUUCUCGACGCUACCGAGGAACAUCAGCUUCAUGGAGCAUUUCAGCAAGCUGGGCCGGAUGGAGGACACCCGGGCGAAGCCUCUCAUCGUGGACCCGGGGCUGUACAUGUCGACCAAGCAGGACAUCUUCACCGUGUCGGCGCAGCAGCGGGAGCUGCCGACGGCGUUCAAGCUGCACAUGGGGUCGGAGUACGUGGUGUGGGGGUGGGACAACCUGCCGCGGACGCUCCUCAUGUACUACACCAACUUCGUCUCCUCCCCAGAAGGCUAUUUCCAGACCGUGAUGUGCAACGCGCCCGGCUUCGUGCGCACCGUCGCCAACCAUGACCUGCACCACAUCCGGUGGGACGUCCCGCCGAGGCAGCACCCGUGUUUGCUCGGGCUCGCCGACAGGGACGGAAUGGUGGGCAGCGACGUGCCUUUCGCGCGCAAGUUCGCGCGCGACGAUCCCGUGCUCGAUGCCAUAGACGCAGACCUUCUGCUCGGCCGCGGGAGGAAUGGCACGGCGGCCGGGCUGUUCGUGCCCGGUGCCUGGUGCGGCCAACGCGGGGACUGCGGUGCCGCCCGCGCCAAUGUCGACGACUGGGUGCUCAGGCCUGGCCCCGGUGCCGAGAGGUUGCAGAGGCUCAUGGACAGGAUCGUUAGGUCUGAGACCUUCGCCAAUAGCCAGUAA